GUGGGGAAUAUUGGGCAAUGGGCGAAAGCCUGACCCAGCAACGCCGCGUGAAGGAAGAAGGUUUUCGGAUCGUAAACUUCUAUCCUUGGUGAAGAUAAUGACGGUAGCCAAGAAGGAAGCCCCGGCUAACUACGUGCCAGCAGCCGCGGUAAUACGUAGGGGGCAAGCGUUGUCCGGAAUGAUUGGGCGUAAAGGGCGCGUAGGCGGCCCGGUAAGUCUGAAGUGAAAGUCCUGCUUUUAAGGUGGGAAUUGCUUUGGAUACUGUCGGGCUUGAGUGCAGGAGAGGUAAGCGGAAGUCCCGGUGUAGCAGUGAAAUGCGUAGAGAUCGGGAGGAACACCAGUGGCGAAGGCGGCUUACUGGACUGUAACUGACGCUGAGGCGCGAAAGUGUGGGGAGCAAACAGGAUUAGAAACCCCUGUAGUCC
rnacentral:rRNA from 1 species